GGCUAGUCCAAGUGCAGUGGUGUUUACAACUAAUUGAGCACAGCCAGUACAGAUUUAUUUGUUCCUUCUACACCUAUGUUGCUGCACUUGAUCAUCCUUUA
ensembl:Y_RNA Y_RNA Y RNA